CUUAGAAGCAGCCAUCCUUGAAAGAGUGCGUAAUAGCUCACUGGUCAAGUGGUUCCGCGCCGACAAUGUAGCGGGGCUUAAGCACACCGCCGACGCCGCGGCAGUCCAUCGUGGUCCUAGCCUGUCCGUUGGGCGGGUUCAGGGGGUGGGCUGGGUAGGGGAGCGUCCCGCGUUGGGUGAAGUCUCGGGGUGACCCGGGGUGGACGGCGUGGGAGUGAGAAUGCAGGCAUGAGUAGCGAGAGGCGGGUGAGAAACCCGUCCGCCGAUUGACUAAGGGUUCCAGGGCCAGGUUGAUCCGCCCUGGGUUAGUCGGGUCCUAAGGCGAGGCCGACGGGCGUAGUCGAUGGACAACGGGUUGAUAUUCCCGUACCGGCGCUUGACCGUUCAAUGUUCGCCGGGGUGAUGCUAACCAUCCCCGAUCCUGUGUGUCUCUUUCGGGAGGCGUGUGGGGGAGGGCGUGGGGUCCGAGCCUGGGUGGGCAAGCGUGGUAACAGGUGUGACGCAGAGUGGUAGUCCAACCGUGUCGUAUGGCUGAGCACGGCUAAGGGUGCAGCCCGUCUCCCAGGUAAAUCCGGGGGGCGUUCGGGUCAGGCCUGAUGGGGACCGUUUGACGGGAAGUGGAUGAUCCUGUGCUGCCGAGAAAAGCAUCGACGUCAGGGCAAGCGCCGCCCGUACCCGAAACCGACACAGGUGGUCAGGUAGAGUAUACCGAGGCGUGCGAGUCAAUCGUGGUUAAGGAACUCGGCAAAAUGCCCCCGUAACUUCGGGAGAAGGGGGGCCCGGGCCUUGAUGUCCCCGUGCGGGGCGGAAGGGGCGCGGGCCGCAGAGUCCAGGGAGAAGCGACUGUUUAUCAAAAACACAGGUGCGUGCUAAGCCGCAAGGCGAUGUAUACGCACUGACGCCUGCCCGGUGCUGGAAGGUUAAGCGGACUGGUCAGCCCUUCGGGGUGAAGCUGGGAAGUUAAGCCCCAGUAAACGGCGGUGGUAACUAUAACCAUCCUAAGGUAGCGAAAUUCCUUGUCGGGUAAGUUCCGACCUGCACGAAUGGCGUAACGACUUCUCCGCUGUCUCGACCACGAACUCGGUGAAAUUGCAGUACGAGUAAAGAUGCUCGUUUCGCGCAGCAGGACGGAAAGACCCCGGGACCUUUACUAUAGCUUGGUAUUGGUGUUCGGUACGGCUUGUGUAGGAUAGGUGGGAGACUGUGAACCGGUCACGCUAGUGGGCGGGGAGUCGUUGGUGAAAUACCACUCUGGCCGUGCUGACCAUCUAACCUCGGUCCGUGAUCCGGGCCAGGGACAGUGCCUGGUGGGUAGUUUAACUGGGGCGGUUGCCUCCUAAAGGGUAACGGAGGCGCUCAAAGGUUCCCUCAGCCUGGUCGGCAACCAGGUGGCGAGUGUAAGUGCACAAGGGGGCUUGACUGUGAGACUGACGGGUCGAGCAGGUACGAAAGUAGGAACUAGUGAUCCGGCGGUGGCUUGUGGAAGCGCCGUCGCUCAACGGAUAAAAGGUACCCCGGGGAUAACAGGCUGAUCCUGCCCAAGAGUUCAUAUCGACGGCAUGGUUUGGCACCUCGAUGUCGGCUCGUCGCAUCCUGGGGCUGGAGUAGGUCCCAAGGGUUGGGCUGUUCGCCCAUUAAAGCGGUACGCGAGCUGGGUUCAGAACGUCGUGAGACAGUUCGGUCCCUAUCCGCUGCGCGCGUAGGAGAAUUGAGAAGGGCUGUCCCUAGUACGAGAGGACCGGGACGGACGAACCUCUGGUGUGCCAGUUGUUCCGCCAGGAGCACGGCUGGUUGGCUACGUUCGGGAGGGAUAACCGCUGAAAGCAUCUAAGCGGGAAGCCUGCUUCAAGAUAAGUUCUCCAUCCAGCCUGUGUGCUGGGUGAGGUCCCCCGCAGACGACGGGGUUGAUAGGCCGGACGUGGACGCCUCGUAAGGGGUGGAGCUGACCGGUACUAAUGGACCGACCGCCUACACC
rnacentral:rRNA from 1 species